CACGUAGGGCGCAAGCGUUGUCCGGAAUUAUUGGGCGUAAAGAGCUCGUAGGCGGUUCCGUAAGUCAGAUGUGAAAACUCAGGGCUCAACCCGGAGACGCCAUCUGAUACUGCGGUGACUGGAGUCUGGUAGGGGAACACGGAAUUCCUGGUGUAGCGGUGAAAUGCGCAGAUAUCAGGAGGAACACCGAUGGCGAAGGCAGUGUUCUGGGCCAGUACUGACGCUGAGGAGCGAAAGCGUGGGGGAGCAAACAGG
rnacentral:rRNA from 1 species